rnacentral:rRNA from 1 species
AUCAUACCAGCACUAAAGCACCGGAACCAAUCAAAACUCCGAAGUUAAGCAUGUUUGGGCGAGUCCUCGUGUUGCAUUUC